rnacentral:rRNA from 1 species
CCAGUUCAUUUACUUUGAGUAAAUUAGAGUGUUCAAAGCAGCCUCUUGGGGCAUUGAAUAUAUUAGCAUGGGAUAAUAGAAUAGGACUCUUGUCUAUUUAUUGGUUAAUGAAUUUAGAGUAAUGAUUAAUAGGGAUAGUUGGGGGCACUUGUAUUCAAUAGUCAGAGGUGAAAUUCUAGGAUUUAUUGAAGAGACAAACUUCAGCGAAAGCAUUUGCCAAGGAUGUUUUCAUUAAUCAAGAACGAAAGUUAGGGGAUCGAAGACGAUUAGACACCGUCGUAGUCUUAACUAUAAACUAUGCAGACCAGGGAUAUGAGGAUUCUUAUUCAUACUAUUAAAUUAGUAUAAUUCCUUGUGCACCUUGUGAGAAAUCAUAAGUGUUUGGGUUCUGAGGGGGAGUAUGGUAGCAAGGCUGAAACUUAAAGGAA